rnacentral:rRNA from 1 species
GACGAACGCUGGCGGCGUGCCUAACACAUGCAAGUCGAACGGAAAGGCCGUGCUUUUGUGGGGUGCUCGAGUGGCGAAGGGGUGAGUAACACGUGAGUAACCUGCCCUUGACCUUGGGAUAACUUCAGGCAACUGGGGCUAUUACCGGAUAGGAGCUCUUGCCGCAUGGUGGGGGGUGGAAAGUUUCGGCGGUUGGGGAUGGACUCGCGGCUCAUCAGCUUGUUGGUGGGGUAGUGGCUUACCAAGGCUUUGACGGGUAGCCGGCCUGAGAGGGUGACCGGCCACAUUGGGACUGAGAUACGGCCCAGACUCCUACGGGAGGCAGCAGUGGGGAAUAUUGCACAGUGGGCGGAAGCAUGAUGCAGCAACGCCGCGUGCGGGAUGACGGCCUUCGGGUUGUAAACCGCUUUCGCCUGUGACGAAGCGUGAGUGACGGUAAUGGGUAAAGAAGCACCGGCUAACUACGUG